rnacentral:RNase_P_RNA from 1 species
GCAGAGAGCCGGAUGGCCGCGUUGGGGCAUCAAGCCCCCGCGAGGAAAGUCCGGACUCCCUGAAACAACGGUGCCGGGUAACGCCCGGGCAGGGCAACCUGACGGAAAGCGCCACAGAAAUGAGACCGCCUCGCCGCUCUGGAGGUUCGCCAAAGGAUGCGACGGGGUAAGGAUGAAACGGUGGGGUAAGAGCCCACCGCACCGCUGGCAACAGGGGUGGCACGGCAAGCCCCACCGGGAGCAAUGCCAAAUAGGGCCUCCGCGCGGGCCGGGUCGGGCAACCGAGACCGCCGCUAGGGAUGUUUCACCCGAGAGAGGCCGGGUUGGCAGCUAGAGGCGUCCGGCAACGGGCGUCCCAGAAGAAUGGUCAUCAAACCUUGCCUUUCGGGGCAGGGGGAACAAGAUCCGGCUUAUAGGCUCUCUGCGCAA